rnacentral:rRNA from 1 species
GGUGAUGAAUAGGGGCUGAAGCCUGCCCGGUGCUGGAAGGUUAAGAGGAGUGGUUAGCUUAAGCGAAUCUACGAAUCGAAGCCCCAGUAAACGGCGGCCGUAAAUAUAACGGUCCUAAGGUAGCGAAAUUCCUUGUCGGGUAAUUUCCGACCCGCACGAAAGGCGUAACGAUUUGGGCACUGUCUCAACGAUAGACUCGGUGAAAUCAUAGUACAUGUGAAGAUGCAGGUUA